UUUUAUUUGAGAGUUUGAUCCUGGCUCAGGAUGAACGCUGGCGGCGUGCCUAACACAUGCCAGUUGAGCGAUUUACUUCGGUAAAGAGCGGCGGACGGGUGAGUAACGCGUGGGUAACCUACCCUGUACACACGGAUAACAUACCGAAAGGUAUGCUAAUACGGGAUAAUAUAUUUGAGAGGCAUCUCUUGAAUAUCAAAGGUGAGCCAGUACAGGAUGGACCCGCGUCUGAUUAGCUAGUUGGUAAGGUAACGGCUUACCAAGGCGACGAUCAGUAGCCGACCUGAGAGGGUGAUCGGCCACAUUGGAACUGAGACACGGUCCAAACUCCUACGGGAGGCAGCAGUGGGGAAUAUUGCACAAUGGGCGAAAGCCUGAUGCAGCAACGCCGCGUGAGUGAUGAAGGCCUUCGGGUCGUAAAACUCUGUCCU
rnacentral:rRNA from 1 species